rnacentral:rRNA from 1 species
GAUGAACGCUGGCGGCGUGCCUAAUACAUGCAAGUCGAGCGAACAGACGAGGAGCUUGCUCCUCUGACGUUAGCGGCGGACGGGUGAGUAACACGUGUAUAACCUACCUAUAAGACUGGGAUAACUUCGGGAAACCGGAGCUAAUACCGGAUAAUAUAUUGAACCGCAUGGUUCAAUAGUGAAAGACGAUUUUGCUGUCACUUAUAGAUGGAUCCUCGCCGCAUUAGCUAGUUGGUAAGGUAACGGCUUACCAAGGCAACGAUGCGUAGCCGACCUGAGAGGGUGAUCGCCCACCCUGGACCUGAGACACGGUCAAGACUCCUACGGGAGGCAGAAGUAGGGAAUCUUCGGAAAUGGGCGAAAGCUUGACGGAGCAACGCCGCGUGAGUGAUGAAGGUCUUCGGAUCGUAAACCUUUGUUAUUAGGGAAGACCAAAUGUGUAAGUAAAUAUGCACGUCUUGACGGUACCUAAUCAGAAAGCCACGGCUAACUACGUG